AAUAUUAUGUAAAGAUGAUAUGUAAUUCCAUGCAACAAAGCACAUCAAAGCUGACUGCAGUUUAAAAAAAUACAAAUGUGAUGCAAAUCAUGCAGUGCAAAUUGGGUGGUCAAUGCACAUAUCAUAAACAUAACACAAAUUUUUAUCCUCCUUUUUACAGUUCUCUUAAUUCACUCAUUUUCUACUAUUAUGUCAUGUAAUUUGAACAUGCAAUAUGGCUUUGAUUUCAGAAAGGGAUAACAAUCACUUUUAAUUUAUUCUUUUUUAGUGAAAUGUUGAUGAGAAUAUGUAUAGAUGAAAAAAAAAAACUUAAAGAUUCAAAUAAAAUGUGCUCUAUAUUAUUGGGCCCUUAAUUUAGAAAUUUCAUAAAGGUUAUCUUAAUCCAGGAUUAAUAAAUCAUUAUAUCUUAUUACCAAAUCAUUUAAUAUAAAUUUAGAAAUGGUACAAUAUCUGCAAUGAUAGUUUAUUACCAUGCAUCCAUCGCCUUUAAAAGUCCAAGAGAAUUUUAGAAGUCAGAUGGAAAUCAUUUUAAAUAAGUUCAUUACAAAAUGACACAUCAUCCCUUUCUGAAGUAUAUAUUUUUUUUUUCUUUUCAGAUCACUACAUUAGAAUACCUCAUCCCCUGCUUACAUUAUAUGCAUCUCCAAUGGCAAUGAUCAUGAAAACAAUAACAAAUGAAAAUCAUAAAGAUAAUGAUAAUAUAAAUAAAUCAACACAUGUGAAUGAAGAAACAAAAGGACGGCAACAAAAACAAGGAUGAUAACAGAAAAUAAGGCAGUUUUUAUUGACUGGCUAAUUGUUUUUGGUGACAAUAUUCUUCUUCAGGAUCUGUGCUUCUUCAGCUGGAAGUUCCACAAAUAGAAAACAAAGAUGGACAACGAUUAUUUUGUUUUGGUAAGAUUUUAUCUCCCAUUUUAUUCCUCAGAGCAAGAUAAAAACUGUUCAGAGGCAUUAGUUCUCUCUCAUCUAUGUAACAAGAGAGAGGGAAAAAAUCACUGCCUUUCAUGUUCUUACAGAUUCCACUAUCUUGAUCUUGGUUAAAACAUGACAAAGUAAAUACAAAAUGAGACAAAAUAGUAUUGAACUAUUGACAAUGUCUUAAAAUCUGAAGGAGUCAAAUUUGGUGAAGUGUACACACAAAAAUUAAUAUCUCACCACUGGAUAAGUUUUAACCAAUAAAGAGAAUUUCAUCUCAGUAUGAAUGAAUCAACUACAACUAAAAUAAUGAACAAAUAAAUAAUAAAUCAAAUAAACCAUGACAUUACACAAUGUGAAAGAUGUAUAAAAUUCUAAUUGGAGAUUUCUUGAAAAUUCUUGAAAUAAAAAUUUGUUGAAAUUUAAAGAUAAAUGAUGUUUGGUAAUGAAAGUUUGAUGACAUAAGACCAAACAGAUAUAUUAGAUAACCAUUGGACCACAUUAUAUGGAUAAUGAUGAAGAGAUGCAAUAAGUUUAAAUGUGAGAAUAUGAUAAUUGCUACUCCCUUUUAAUAAGAAGGUGGAAAUUUGAAAUGCUCUGUACUUUUAUUAAUGUAUUAUGAAAACAGAAUAUAUGAAAAUGCUUAAAUGACUAAAUGUGGAACAAAUGCCCUGGAAAUGUGUACAUUUAUCACUUAAUGAGGCCCCCAAAACCCUUCCUUCCACUAAAAUAUACAUAUGAAACUACAUAGAGAAUUGCUCUGAACUUGUCAGCAACUAUAAACAUCUUCUUUCUCAUUAUCUAGUGAUCAAUGAAAACUUAACAAUCCAGUUGGAAGAAUAGUUCCAAGUUGUUUGUUUAUCAUUUACAAUUCUUUUACUUUCAUUUAUUUUCUAAUUGCGAUUUAUAUAAUUUAUUUCACUUUUUUCUUGCUUUUUUUUUUUUUUACUUUGAAACACAGAAAAAAAAUUUGUUGCCUUCAGUAAUCACUUACAUACAAUAAUCAAUUAUAAUAUAAUUUUACUGAUUUCUACAAAUACAAAACCUAUAUAGACAACUUAUUAUCAAAACAUAUCUGGGCAUUUGCACAUAAAAACAAUACAAUCUUACAACAAACAUUUCCUUCAUCAAGCAUUUUAAUUGGAUAAUAGAUGCUAACAAAUAUUGUUUAAAGAAAAGAUUGAUCUAUACAAGUUAAUUAUUCAUUAAUCUUUUUCUCUUUUUUUUCUCAAAUAUGAUCUGGAUGUUUUAUAAUAACCCCUUUCCUACUUUCUUUUCUGGGUAGGCAUGGGAGUAUUGUUCCCACAUUGCUAUAGUUACAUUGAACAAGACUGAUAUUUUUUUUUAAUUCAAUAAUAAAUAUAAUAGCAUACACAGCAAAGUCAUUUAGUUAAAAAAAUGAAAUAAAUUGAAAGUCAAGGUUAAGUUAUGCUUUGUAAUAAUAAAUAUUCAAAAACCUUUGGGGUUUAUUUCCUGUUUGGUUAAGUGAAUAGUUAGUGGGGAGUCACACAGGGAUAUGAAAUCACUAGAGAAUAUAUUCAUAAUGGAAUAAGAUGCACAAAGGAAGAAAUACAUUUAGCAAAUUCCCUAUUCACCAUGUUUAAAGUUCACAACAUGUCUUCCUAAUGCAUAGUUGGAAAUAAAUCAAAUUAUCAUAGAUAUUUCAAAAUAUUGCAAACAGGAUGUUUAUCAUUGAAUCAGUGCUUUGAAUUCCACAUGCAAUUGCUUUUAAUAAAAUUAGAGAAUUUGACAGAAAAGUAUGGAACUCAAUUUCCAAAAGCUGAUUGUAUUAAAAAGAUUCAUAGUAACUGAGAUAGUGUUUAAAACAUGUGAAUCUUGACCUACACAGAUGCUUUUUUUCUUUCUAAGCCUGAGAAAAAUUGAAAUGAACCUAAUUCUGCAAUUUUUCAGGUCCACAACAGACGCAUAAUAUACAUAUAUAUGUUACCACGAAUCCAGCCUUUUUGCCCAACAGUCAAAUUUCACACUACUCUAUCUACAUUCUCUUCAAAAAAGCUAAUAGCUAUAUGGAUUUUUCUAAAAGAUGACAUCAAUUUCAUGUUCACAUAUAUUCAAAAAUUCAUCUAUGUACAAGGCAAUAUAUUAGAUUUUUUCUUAUCUCUUUUUCAUUUCAUUGCGAUAAAAUGCCUUCAUUCUUAGCGCUAUAAAGAUAGACAAAUUUAAAGCUGCAAGUAUUUUCAGCUUAUCCAGAAUUUUUUUUACGAGAAAGAUACAUUGACUUUAAACUUCAUAUCAAAAAGAUUAUACAUAUGCUUUUUAAUUCUUGUAUUUGACAAAAAUUCAGCUAGCUCUGUCAGUAAGCUCAUGUCAUAUACACCGUAUUAAUGGCAUUUGCAAUAGGGUUAGGGUUGUUUCCUCUCAAAAACCCGAAGGUUGUAACUUAACACAAACGCAAAGCCCUUCUGAUCCUCAGCAUUAACAAUGAUCUAUCUAAAGUGAAAUCAGAGUGUCAUUCAUACCAUAAUGACAGGUUGUGAAGUCUCCAAUAAUACAAUCAUUUUAAUCCAGAUAACUAUUCAUGACUUAAAUACCAGUCUUUCUGAAAGGAAAAAAAUAGCAACCUCAUUUUGUCCAAGACAUCUGACUUUGUUUUGCAUGCAAUGAUUUUUUAAUGACAUUACUGUGACUUUGUAGACCAUUUGAUAUUCAACAGUUUGAAGGUACUUUUGUACACAUCCAGAUACAUAAAGACUGCUCAAAUAUUUCAAAAAAUUGAGUGGAUAAAAAUUCAUCUGACCACAGAAAACAAUAAAAACUAACAUGAAUGGGAUUUGAUCUGAAUUGUUUUCCAUACAUGUAGAUCUAAAGGACUCCAGUACAUUUUCUGAUUAAUGAAAACUUAGCAGCAAAAUGUUCAUAGAAUGUUAUCUGGAAUAAGAUGGAUUAGAUUAUCAUUGACCAUCACCAUAUGAUAGAAUAAUAUAAACAAAGAUUUUCAAAACUCUGACAAAAGAGGCUAAAGAACCAAAAGCUACUUUGAAUUCUGAGAAUUUUCUUUUCUCUCAAGAUUUCAUUAUUAUUAUUUUUUUUUUGCAACCCGGUGAGCAAACCUGAGAAAUAUCAGUGAAAUUUCAAUUGGUGUCUUUUCAUAGCUUUUACAUGAGAAGGUAAAACUCUAAGUGGGGUCAGAAACUAGGGUGUGUAAUAGAAAAAUGUGAAGGUACAUAAACUUAUUGUAGUGAAAAAAAAAUCAAGAUUAAGAAUGAUAGACCUGUCAAGGAUAUUUUCCUCCAGUAAGUUUUGAUUAAAAAAAAAAGCACCAUUAGUCGGGCUUAAUUUGAGGGGGGAAGGCAGUUUCAUUAGUUUGAAGAAAGACUUAAAUGGGAGGGGAAAAAGGAAGGGAUUCCCACUUUGAAUAAUACACAACACUCCCCAGUAGAAGCUCAUGAAAAAACACCUAAUGAAAUUAAAAAGCAUGCUGUUAUUGUAUGAUGCAAGCCAAUAUCACCCAGGUUUCAGCUCUAAUGGUAAAGACCAGGAAUUUAGUUUGUCACAUUUAUUUGUCAGAAUAGACAGAAAAUCAUAUUCUAAUCUGCUUUAGAAAAAUGUUACCAAAAUGUUAGAAUAUAAAACAAAACAAACGGCAGAUAUUUGCUCUUUCAUUUUCGUAAUCUGUUCAUAUAAAACAUGCAAUUCUGUAACCUCCAU